AACGAACGCUGGCGGCAGGCCUAACACAUGCAAGUCGAACGCCCUAGCAAUAGGGAGUGGCAGACGGGUGAGUAACACGUGGGAACCUUCCCUAUAGUACGGAAUAUACCAGGGAAACUUGGAGCAAUACCGUAUACGCCCGAGAGGGGAAAGAUUUAUCGCUAUAGGAUGGGCCCGCGUAGGAUUAGCUAGUUGGUGAGGUAAUGGCUCACCAAGGCGACGAUCCUUAGCUGGUUUGAGAGAACGACCAGCCACACUGGGACUGAGACACGGCCCAGACUCCUACGGGAGGCAGCAGUGGGGAAUAUUGGACAAUGGGCGCAAGCCUGAUCCAGCCAUGCCGCGUGAGUGAUGAAGGCCUUAGGGUUGUAAAGCUCUUUUGCCGGGGACGAUGAUGACGGUAGUGGGAGAAGAAGCCCCGGCUAACUUCGUGCCAGCCGCCGCCGUAAU
rnacentral:rRNA from 1 species